rnacentral:rRNA from 1 species
CGGGUAGACCUCCCACCCUUUGUAUACCUUACCUUUUGUUGCUUUGGCGGGCCGCCUAGCUACUGGCUUCGGCUGGUAAGUGCCCGCCAGAGGACCCAAACCCAAACCCAUUUAUAGUGUCGUCUGAGAAAAAAGUUUAAUAUUUAAAACUUUCAACAACGGAUCUCUUGGCUCUGGCAUCGAUGAAGAACGCAGCGAAAUGCGAUAAGUAAUGUGAAUUGCAGAAUUCAGUGAAUCAUCGAAUCUUUGAACGCACAUUGCGCCCCUUGGUAUUCCGAGGGGCAUGCCUAUUCGAGCGUCAUUAUCACCCCUCAAGCUCCGGCUUGGUGUUGAGGCCUGCUGUAAAGGCACCCUCUAAAAUCAGUGGCAGUGCCGUCAGGCUCUAAGCGUAGUAAUUUCAUCGCUAUAGACCCGAGCGGACCCUCGCCAGAAACCCCCCAUUUUUUAAUGAUUGACCUCGGAUUAGGUAGGGAUACCCGCUGAACUUAAGCAUAUCAAUAAGCCGGAGGAA